UUUUGUACGUCGCCGUUGGACGGCAGCUUGCGGAUGCUUCGACGACUCUCGAUGGCUUCCAGCCGCUUUUCGUUGCCACUUGUGCGCCAACGCGAGCGUUAGACGCCUUUGGGAUUGUUUAUUUUUUUGUUUUUUUUGGCGGAGGAGGAGGAGGAAAGAGGAAAGAAAAGAUGGACGCGGCGGCGGCGGCGGAGGAGCUCGUGUAGCAGUGGGGCUAAUUAUGCUAAUGCUAAGCUAAGUGUUGCAAAUGCUAAUGCUUAGCGUCCGUCGGAGCUGCUCGGCCGCCGGACGCCCCGUUUGGACUUCCUCGCGUCGGCUUCAAGUUUGUGUUGUGCGCUGAUCUUCACCUUAAUCACCAUCAUCAUCGUUGCUGUGACGAAGGCUGGUGUGCAGAUGAUCGCGCCGCUAACCAUGGAGGAAGACCUUAGACGAGCCGCGCAGGUGCAGUAAGGCAUCAUGGGUAGUAGCUGUUCAAGCUGUCCAGACAAACAGUUGACUGCGGAUACUCAUCAAAGUAAAUUCAAGGUGAUCAAUGUGGACGACGAUGGGAACGAGCUGGGCGCCGGCGUGAUGGAGCUGACGGACGGCGAGCUUGUCCUGCACACGCAUCGCCGCGACGACGUCCGCUGGCCGUACCUGUGCCUGCGUCGCUACGGUUACGACUCCAACCUCUUCUCCUUCGAGAGCGGACGCCGCUGUCAGACCGGGCAAGGCAUCUUUGCGUUCAAGUGCGUGCGUGCUGAGGAAAUCUUCAACAUGCUGCAGGAAGUCAUGCACAGUCACAGCAUCAGUGUUGUGGAGGAAGCUGUGCUGGAUUCCAGCCACCAGGGGGCGCCACUCUCCCCUGCAGCCCUGGGCUACUCGGUGCCCACGGUGCCGAACGGCGUGUCGCGGAUCCCGUCAGUGGGCGAGGUCCCCUCCCACCCGUCCAGCCGCCACCCGUCCGUGGCCAGCACCCGCCUGCCGUCGGUGGGCGAGGAGUCCACGCACCCCCUGCUGGUGGCUGACGAAAGCGUAAGUGCGCCGCCCCCGCGCAGCCCCAGAGUCUCUGCGGCGGCUGACGAGCGCUGCGACUGCUUCCAGGCGCACACGUACGUGAACACGGCGCGUCUGCUGGAUGAGGCGCCGCCUGGCAGUCCGACGCCGGAGAGCCCCGCCUCCCCGGUGGCCCGCCGCCCGCCCACUCCUCCGCAGGCGUCCGACGCCUUAGAGCCGCGGGUGCUGCUGGAGCCGCAAGGCGUGCGCUUCGUGCUGGGCCCCACCCCAGUUCAGCGGCGGCUGCGGGAGGCGGGAGAGACGCGAGAGAGCGACAUCCACGCUGACGGCGAGCCGGGCACCCCGCGCUCUGACAGCCCGGCGGUCAACCCGCCCCCGGCGCACCGCUGCCACCGCCCGCCGCCGUUGACCCCCGACCCGCAGAAUGUCAACAACUCUGCGCAGCGGCGCACCGCGUUGCUGGACUACGAGAACCUGCCCGCGCUGCCGCCCGUGUGGGAAGCCCGCAAGUCAAGCUGGGAGGACGAGGAGGGUGGCGGCGGCCUUAAGACGCUUAACGGCUUCAACUACCCUCACGGUCCACCGUCGGCCGCCCUGGAGCCCUCGCACAACUACGUCAACACGGAGAACGUGACAGCUCCCCUCAGCGUCCACCGGCCCGACACGGCGCGCCGCCGCCCCGACGGACCCACCGUCUUCAACUUUGACUUCCGCCGGCCGCCGGGUGUCGGCGAGCAGCCUAAGAUGCUCAACUACAUCGAGGUGGAGAUGGACAACCGGGGCACCUCCGACGGCAGUGACCCCCAUACGCCCCGCACCCCCUCCUCGCCCCCGCCGCCCGGCACCCCCACGCGUCGCACCGAGCUCUACGCCCUCAUCGACAUCGAGCGCACGGCCGCCAUGUCCAACCUGCAGAAGGCGCGGCCGCGGGACGACGGGACCUCGCGCAAGACACGCCACAACAGCACCGAGCUGCCCACCAAAAGCGCCGCGUGACGACGACGCUGUCCCAGAAACUUUGACUUUGUUGUCCUUCUUCUUCUAUGGUACAAAUCAGUAUUACUGAAGCAAGCAUUCCAUUGAGCUCUUUUCAUGCUGCUGUAACUUCCAGAUUUGAAAAGGACGCUUUCACACCCCACACCCACAGAACCGCACCACCGACCACAAUCACUCCACCGACUUCUGCGUUGACCAUCCGCGAACAGAAUGCGAGACGCAUCUUCCAACAACAAAAGAUUAACAAAGCGGCAGGCUCAGACCAUGUGUCCCCAUCUUGCCUCAAAGUGGACGGACCAGCUCGCUCCAGUCUUCACUCAGAUCUUCAAUAGAUCUCUGGAACUGUGCGAAGUACCAUCCUGUUUCAAACGCUACACCAUCAUUCCUGUCCCCCAGAAACCUGCAAUCUCGGGUCUAAAUGACUACAGGCCUGUCGCCUUGACAUCUGUGGUCACGAAGUCCUUUGAACGUCUCGUGCUGGACCACCUCAAGACCCCCUGCGGUUUGCCUACCGAGCGAACAGGUCUGCGGAUGAUGCAGUCAACAUGGGACUGCACUUCAUCUUAGAACACCUCGACAGUGCAGGGCCCCUACGCGAGGAUCCUGUUCCUGUUCUUCGGCUCAGCGUUCAACACCAUCAUCCCUGAACUCCUCUCAACCAAGCUUCUCCAGCUCAGCGUCUCGCCUGCCAUCUGCCAGUGGAUUUACAGCUUCCUGACGGGCAGGGCACAGCAGGUGAGGCUGGGGGAGGCCACCUCAUCCGCACGCAGCAUCAGCACUGGGGCGCCCCAAGGUUGUGUCCUCUCACCGCUGCUCUUCUCUCUCCAC